rnacentral:lncRNA from 1 species
UUUGUCUCUAUCUUUUUGUUUUUUUCCCGUUGUUUUUACUGCUUGUUGGCUUCUGUUGUGUGUUGCCUUUGUUUUGCAGAUGUUAGACGCGUGCUGCGGUGGUGGCGUGCGAGGAGGCCGUGCGACGCGCGUGGGAGGAGCGGCGGCUAAAGGGUGCUAGGGUUUCUUUUUUUUUUUUAUCUGAAAAGAUGUUUAGGCUUUGGGCUUGUUGGGACACUAGAGUUUUUUGUAAUUUGGGCCUGUUGGGUUUGUUGUAAAUGGACUUGGUAUUUGGACUUUUUAUUUAUUUAGUUUUAUUUAUUAUUUGUAUUUGGUCUUGAGCCCGGGCGAAAUUGAGCCAUUACAACAUUUUUCCAUUGGCCAAAGUGGCCUAACAGAUUUUUUUUAAUGGCGGUUACAAAAUGGACUAAAAAUAGAGAAAAUUGAAACUUUA